rnacentral:rRNA from 1 species
GACGAACGCUGGCGGCGUGCUUAACACAUGCAAGUCGAACGGAAAGGCCCUGCUUUUGUGGGGUGCUCGAGUGGCGAACGGGUGAGUAACACGUGAGUAACCUGCCCUUGACUUUGGGAUAACUUCAGGAAACUGGGGCUAAUACCGGAUAGGAGCUCCUGCUGCAUGGUGGGGGUUGGAAAGUUUCGGCGGUUGGGGAUGGACUCGCGGCUUAUCAGCUUGUUGGUGGGGUAGUGGCUUACCAAGGCUUUGACGGGUAGCCGGCCUGAGAGGGUGACCGGCGACAUGAGGACUGAGAGACGGACCAGACUCCUACGGGAGGCAGCAGUGGGGAAUAUUGCACAAUGGGCGGAAGCCUGAUGCAGCAACGCCGCGUGCGGGAUGACGGCCUUCGGGUUGUAAACCGCUUUCGCCUGUGACGAAGCGUGAGUGACGGUAAUGGGUAAAGAAGCACCGGCUAACUACGUG